UCUCCGUAGGUGAACCUGCGGAGGGAUCAUUACAAGUGACCCCGGUCUUACCACCGGGAUGUUCAUAACCCUUUGUUGUCCGACUCUGUUGCCUCCGGGGCGACCCUGCCUUCGGGCGGGGGCUCCGGGUGGACACUUCAAACUCUUGCGUAACUUUGCAGUCUGAGUAAACUUAAUUAAUAGAUUAAAACUUUUAACAACGGAUCUCUUGGUUCUG
rnacentral:misc_RNA from 1 species